GAUGAACGCUAGCGGCAGGCUUAAUACAUGCAAGUCGAGGGGCAGCACGGGUAGCAAUACCUGGUGGCGACCGGCAAACGGGUGCGGAACACGUACGCAACCUUCCCAUAACUGGUGAAUAGCCUUCCGAAAGGGAGAUUAAUACACCGUAACAUAACGAAAAGGCAUCUUUUGUUAUUAUAGGCUUCGGCCGGUUUUGGAUGGGCGUGCGCCUGAUUAGGUAGUUGGCGGGGUAACGGCCCACCAAGCCUGCGAUCAGUAACUGGUGUGAGAGCACGACCAGUCACACGGGCACUGAGACACGGGCCCGACUCCUACGGGAGGCAGCAGUAAGGAAUAUUGGUCAAUGGACGAAAGUCUGAACCAGCCAUGCCGCG
rnacentral:rRNA from 1 species